rnacentral:rRNA from 1 species
UACGUAGGGGGCAAGCGUUGUCCGGAAUCAUUGGGCGUAAAGCGCGUGUAGGCGGUUCGGUAAGUCCGCUGUGAAAGUCGGGGGCUCAACCCUCGGAUGCCGGUGGAUACUGUCGGGCUUGAGUGCGGAAGAGGCGAGUGGAAUUCCUGGUGUAGCGGUGAAAUGCGCAGAUAUCAGGAGGAACAUCAAUUGCGAAGGCAGCUCGCUGGGACGUUACUGACGCUGAGACGCGAAAGCGUGGGGAGCAAACAGG